GACGAACGCUGGCGGCGUGCUUAACACAUGCAAGUCGAACGGAAAGGCCCUGCUUUUGUGGGGUGCUCGAGUUGCGAACGGGUGAGUAACACGUGAGUAACCUGCCCUUGCCUUUGGGAUAACUUCAUGAAACUUGGGCUAAUACCGGAUAGGAGCUCCUGCUGCAUGGUGGGGGUUGGAAAGUUUCGGCGGUUGGGGAUGGACUCGCGGCUUAUCAGCUUGUUGGUGGGGUAGUGUCUUACCAAGGCUUUGACGGGUAGCCGGCCUGAGAGGGUGACCGGACACAUUGGGACUGGAAUGAGGCACAGACUACUACGGGAGGCAGCAGUGGAGAAUAUUGCACAAUGGGAGGAAGCAUGAUGCAGCAACGCAGCGUGGGGGAUGACGGCCUUCGGGUUGUAAACCGAUUUCGCCUGUGACGAAGCGAGAGUGACGGUAAUGGGUAAAGAAGCACCGGCUAACUACGUG
rnacentral:rRNA from 1 species